AUGGUGGAUUACUAUGAAGUUCUAGGAAUGCAGAGACGUGUCUCAUCCGUGGAUAUCAAAAAGGCGAACCCGAUGCAGUCACUCAAGUGGCCCCCAGAUAAAAAUCCUGAGAAUAAAGAAGCAGAGCGAAAGCUCAAACAAGUAGCCGAGGCCUAUGAGUUGUUAUCAGAUGCUAAAAAAAAGGACAACUAUGACAAACACCGAUGGAGGAGGGGGAGGUGGAAGUCACUUUGGCAGUCCGUUUGAGUUCGGCUUCACAUUCUGAAACCCAGAUGAUGUCUUCAGGGAAUUUUUUGAUGGCGGGGACCCAUUUUCAAACGACUUCUUUGAAGACCCGUUUGAUGACUUUUUUUUUUUAAACCAAAGGGGUCCCUGAGGAAGCAGAAACUGAAGCCCCAGCUCCAUUUUCUCCACCUUCAGCGGAUUUCCAUCAUUUGGAGGUGGAUUUUCUUCAUCUGAUACAGGAUUCACUUCGUUUGGAUCACUGAGUCAUGGGGGUCUCACUUCCUUCUCUUCAACAUCAUUUAGCAGCAGUGGGAUGGGUGACUUUAAGUCAAUAUCAACUUCUACAAAAAUAGUUAAUGGCAGAAAAAUCACUACAAAAAGAAUUGUGGAGAAUGGUCAAGAGAGAGUAGAAGUUGAGGAAGAUGAUAAAAGUCCUUGAGGAUAAAUGGUGUGGCUGAUGAGAAUGCCCCUGCAGAAGAGUGCCAGCAGAGAGGGUAACACACCCCAGUCCUGGGCCCAGGCCCCACCUCCAGUCCCAACACCAAAAAUCACUAG